CCAGCACUCUGGGAGGCCGAAGCGGGCGGAUCAUGAGGUCAGGAGAUCGAGACCAUCCUGGCUAACACGGUGAAACCCCAUCUCUACUAAAAAUACAAAAAAUUAGCUGGGUGUGGUGGCGGGCGCCUGUAGUCCCAGCUACUUGGGAGGCUGAGGCAGGAGAAUGGUGUGAACCCGGGAGGCGGAGCUUGCAGUGAGCUGAGAUCGUGCCACUGCACUCCAGCCUGGGCGACAGAGCGAGACUCUGUCUCAAAAAAA
rnacentral:lncRNA from 1 species